rnacentral:rRNA from 1 species
AUACGUAGGGGGCGAGCGUUGUCCGGAAUUACUGGGCGUAAAGGGUGCGUAGGCGGCUGUUUAAGUCAGAUGUGAAAUACCACGGCUCAACCGUGGGGGUGCAUUUGAAACUGGGCAGCUUGAGUGCAGGAGAGGAAAGUGGAAUUCCUAGUGUAGCGGUGAAAUGCGUAGAGAUUAGGAAGAACACCAGUGGCGAAGGCGGCUUUCUGGACUGUAACUGACGCUGAGGCACGAAAGCGUGGGGAGCGAACAGGAUUAGAUACCCUGGUAGUCCACGCCGUAAACGAUGGAUACUAGGUGUAGGGGGUAUCGACCCCCCCUGUGCCGGAGUUAACGCAAUAAGUAUCCCGCCUGGGGAGUACGACCGCAAGGUUGAA